UACGGGGGGAGCAAGCGUUGUUCGGAUUUACUGGGCGUAAAGGGCGCGUAGGCGGCCUGUUCAAGUCAGUUGUGAAAUCUCCGAGCUUAACUCGGAACGGGCAACUGAUACUGCUCGGCUAGAGUGCGGAAGGGGCAACUGGAAUUCUUGGUGUAGCGGUGAAAUGCGUAGAUAUCAAGAGGAACACCUGCGGCGAAGGCGGGUUGCUGGGCCGACACUGACGCUGAGGCGCGAAAGCUAGGGGAGCGAACGGG
rnacentral:rRNA from 1 species